AUUGAACGCUGGCGGCAGGCUUAACACAUGCAAGUCGAGCGGAGCGAGGGUGCUUGCACCUUAGCUUAGCGGCGGACGGGUGAGUAAUGCUUAGGAAUCUGCCUAUUAGUGGGGGACAACAUUCCGAAAGGGAUGCUAAUACCGCAUACGCCCUACGGGGGAAAGCAGGGGAUCACUUGUGACCUUGCGCUAAUAGAUGAGCCUAAGUCGGAUUAGCUAGUUGGUGGGGUAAAGGCCUACCAAGGCGACGAUCUGUAGCGGGUCUGAGAGGAUGAUCCGCCACACUGGGACUGAGACACGGCCCAGACUCCUACGGGAGGCAGCAGUGGGGAAUAUUGGACAAUGGGGGGAACCCUGAUCCAGCCAUGCCGCGUGUGUGAAGAAGGCCUUUUGGUUGUAAAGCACUUUAAGCGAGGAGGAGGCGCUCUAGGAUAAUUUUCU
rnacentral:rRNA from 1 species